rnacentral:rRNA from 1 species
AGUACGGCGAGUGAAGCGGCAAAAGCUCAAAUUUUAAAGCUGGCAUCUUCGGUGUCCGCGUUGUAAUUUUGUGAGGCAUCUCCGGGUAGGGCGCCGGCCUAAGUUCCUUGGAACAGGACGUCACAGAGGGUGAGAAUCCCGUGCUUGGCUGGCUGUCCCCGUCCGUGUGAGGUGUCUUCGACGAGUCGAGUUGUUUGGGAAUGCAGCUCAAAAUGGGUGGUAAAUUUCAUCUAAAGCUAAAUAUUGGUGGGAGACCGAUAGCGCACAAGUAGAGUGAUCGAAAGAUGAAAAGCACUUUGAAAAUAGAGUUAAAAAGUACGUGAAAUUGUUGAAAGGGAAGCGCUUGAGAUCAGACUUCGGUAGGGGGUGAUCAGCCGUCCUUCUGGGCGGUGCACUUGCCCCUCUCCGGGCCAGCAUCGGUUGAGGCGGCGGGAUAAAGGUCCCGGGAAUGUGGCUCCUUCGCGGGAGUGUUAUAGCCCGGGUGAAUGCCGCCAGUCUCGACCGAGGACCGCACCCGCAAGGGUUAGGAUGCUUGGCAUAAUGGUCUUCAGCGACCCGUCUUGAAAC